rfam:Pseudomonas sp. Bc-h sc_002, whole genome shotgun sequence.
GGGCAGCGCGACAUGGAUGUCGCGCUAGCCGCCGUUCGGCCAGGGAUGGCCGGUCGGCGGCGUGCCC